AGUCCCAUAGCUCAGUGGAAGAGCGUUCCGUUCACACCGGAAAGGUCGCUGGUUCGAACCCAGUUGGGACUAC
rnacentral:tRNA from 1 species